GCGGGAGCCCUACGGGGAAGACGAAUAAGAAACACGAAAUAUUUCAGCCACUGCCGCUUGUCAUUGUUUCUGUGACUCACACAUCAUCCCCAGCAGCAUGCGAUGAGAACAACACUCAACAGAUCAGUCUGUGUGUGUGUAUUACCUGAGAGAGCUCAGGGAAUGUCUGAACCUGGAGGUUUGCCUUGUUUGCGGUCUGAAUGAGCACAGUUUUCUCCUCCACCCUCAGCAGCAUCACUGCAGUAUGUGUGCGGAACUCAUUCUCAUAUGACUGUAUCACACCUCAAAUACAUCCCAUAGAAGGAACAUUCUUCAUUUGUGAUGGCAAGUGGUGACGCACUAUUUUACAACAGUUGAAGUAGCAAUGAAUCAUAAAAUGUUUAUAUGUGAUAUGCUAAACCCAAUUUGUGCAAUGUUUCAAAGUUACAUUUUUUACGAUACAUAUUCAAUUAAGAUUAAUGCUGCCACCAAUUGGCCUACUUCUACUAUGCCCUUAAAGUACAGUAUGUACU